rnacentral:rRNA from 1 species
UAGGGAAUCUUCCACAAUGGGCGCAAGCCUGAUGGAGCAACACCGCGUGAGUGAAGAAGGGUUUCGGCUCGUAAAGCUCUGUUGUUAAAGAAGAACACGUAUGAGAGUAACUGUUCAUACGUUGACGGUAUUUAACCAGAAAGUCACGGCUAACUACGUGUCAG